rnacentral:rRNA from 1 species
UACGGGAGGCAGCAGUGGGGAAUAUUGCACAAUGGGCGCAAGCCUGAUGCAGCCAUGCCGCGUGUAUGAAAAAGGCCUUCGGGUUGUAAAGUACUUUCAGUCGUGAGGAAGGUGUUAAGGUUAAUAACCUUAGCAAUUGACGUUAGCGACAGAAGAGGCACCGGCUAACUCCGUGCCAGCAGCCGCGGUAAUACGGAGGGUGCGAGCGUUAAUCGGAAUUACUGGGCGUAAAGGGCACGCAGGCGGUUAAUUAAGUUGGAUGUGAAAUCCCCGGGCUUAACCUGGGAAUGGCAUUCAAGACUGGUUAGCUAGAGUCUUGUAGAGGGGGUAGAAUUCCAUGUGUAGCGGUGAAAUGCGUAGAGAUGUGGAGGAAUACCGGUGGCGAAGGCGGCCCCUGGACAAAGACUGACGCUCAUGUGCGAAAGCGUGGGGAGCAAACAGGGAUUAGAUACC